rnacentral:rRNA from 1 species
AACCUGCGGAGGGAUCAUUACAGAGUUAUCCAACUCCCAAACCCAUGUGAACUUAUCUCUUUGUUGCCUCGGCGCAAGCUACCCGGGACCUCGCGCCCCGGGGCGGCCCGCCGGCGGACAAACCAAAACUCUUGUUAUCUUAGUUGAUUAUCUGAGUGUCUUAUUUAAUAAGUCAAAACUUUCAACAACGGAUCUCUUGGUUCUGGCAUCGAUGAAGAACGCAGCGAAAUGCGAUAAGUAAUGUGAAUUGCAGAAUUCAGUGAAUCAUCGAAUCUUUGAACGCACAUUGCGCCCAUUAGUAUUCUAGUGGGCAUGCCUGUUCGAGCGUCAUUUCAACCCCUAAGCACAGCUUAUUGUUGGGAACCUACGGCUUCGUAGUUCCUCAAAGACAUUGGCGGAGUGGCAGUGGUCCUCUGAGCGUAGUAAUCUUUUAUCUCGCUUCUGUUAGGUGCUGCCCCCCCGGCCGUAAAACCCCCAAUUUUUUCUGGUUGACCUCGGAUCAGGUAGGAAUACCCGCUGAACUUAAGCAUAUC